rnacentral:lncRNA from 1 species
UGACGUCUGCCAGCAGUGAAAUAGUGAUCCAGAUGGGAAGUUACCGCGACUGUAAUAUUAUUGUUUUUAUUGUGACACUUAAGCCUACAUAAGAUUGUGUUCAAAAUAAUCAUAAGGGAGAUUAGGAUGGGGUGGUGUGAUUUCAGAAGAAAUUUUGAUUCUCACUCAAAUAACCUUUAACACUACUCUGAACCCCAAAUAUCUACUUCACACAUGCCUCAUGUAGGAUGCCGACAAUAUCGUUCACAUGUUUUUUCCUAAAUGUUAAAUUUUUAAUGAUGGGUGAAAUAGGAGGGAAGAUCAAUCAGACUCCAUCAGACGAGGCACUUCUGCUUCUGGGCAAAAUCCCUGCUCCCUCCACCCAAGAGAGGUGCCACUAGAGAGAGGCUGGGGGCUUGAGCUGUGGGCUCACUCAGAAGCUGGGGAAGGACGUGACUGGGCACGCACGGGUGGCAUAAGACCAGGGGACACAGGUAGGUGGGAAGGAUCUGCAUGUUUCUGAGUAGAUGAGGCAGCUCGAGCAGAUCCCCAAACCUGGCACGAGAAGGGUUUGCAGUGGUUGCUCCAGGCCCUGCAGAAGUAGUGAGAAGACUUUUUUGCCAGUCAGCGGUUUCUGCCUGACGAGGGCAGGGGGCUGGGGUGCCCUGGGUUACUCAUCUUGCCUGUGAUUGGCAUGUAGAAGCCAAAGCUCCCAACCCCGCUGCCUAGAGGAUGCAGUAUUGCAAAAGGUCUAGCUCAGGACCCUCAGGGCUGAGGCUAGACCAAAAGCCUUCAGGGCCCCUCAGACACCAGAAAUCAGGAUUUCUUGCGUAUUUUUAAAACAUUGUGAUUUCCUUGCUUUUAAUUUAGAGCUAUUUCUAUACUCUGUGGGCUCAGGAUGUACCUAUAGCUAACUCCCCAGACUUCAUUUGCAGAGAUAAUUAAGGGAUGCUAGUUACCUAAGCAAGCUAUUAAGGGUGGCUUUGCUAAGGAUUUUUAUUUGUAAACUAAAAUGAGUGCACUUCUAGAGUUUGAGGGCCCUCACGCAGGAUGCUGGAAGAAUCUGGAUUCCGCUCAGUCACUGCGGAUGCUCCCAGGUCUGUCUGCCCACGUGUCCGUGAAGAGGUGGAGGGAGUGGGCUGUGGGAGUCCCCUGCUCAUUGUCUAGAGAUGGUCGUGGUUUUUCCUCACCGCUGCUGUUGCUUUUAAUUUAGAAGCGAAUCACCAUUAGUGUAGCUUCUCGGUUCAGUUUGGUGAGGGCUGUUUGCUCCUCGAGGUGUCAGCCCUGUUGGCCUAUCAUUUGCUAAGAAUUGGACUCAAACUUGUAUUUUCAUUUGAACAAAUUGCACUCCCGUCCUGUCCCCACCCUGCAGUGCACUGUGGUGUGAUGCUUGGUCUUUGUCACAGAGUCCUUUGUCACUGGGAAGUGGAGACAGUUGAGAUCGGGUGACCCCAGUGCUUCCUUUGUGGGCAAUGGUGUAAAAAGAUG